rnacentral:rRNA from 1 species
GACGAACGCUGGCGGCGUGCUUAACACAUGCAAGUCGUACGGUAAGGCCCUUUCGGUUGUACACGAUUGUCUAACGGGUGAGUAACACGUGAGUAACCUGCCCACCACUUUUGGAUAACGCUAGGAAACUGGUGCUCGUACUGGAUAUGUGCUCCUGCUGCAUGCUGGGGGUUGGAAAGCGCCUGCGGUUGUGGAUGGACUUGCGGCCUAUCAGCUUGUUGGGGGGGUAGUGGACUACCAAGGCGGCGACGGGUAGCCGGCAUGAGAGGGUGACCGGCCACAUUGGGACUGAGAUACGGCCCAGACUCCGACGGGUGGCAGAAGUGGGGAAUAUUGGACAAUGGGCGCAAGCCUGAUGCAGCAACGCCGCGUGGGGGAUGACGGCCUUCGGGUUGUAAAACGCUUUCAGCAGGGAAGAAGCUGUUGGUGACGGUACCUGCAGAAGAAGCACCGGCUAACUACGUG